GACGAACGCUGGCGGCGUGCUUAACACAUGCAAGUCGAGCGAGGAAAUUACUUCGGUAAUUUCCUAGCGGCGGACGGGUGAGUAACACGUGGGCAACCUGCCUGAUAGAGGGGGAUAGCCUCCCGAAAGGGAGAUUAAUACCGCAUAAAGUAAAAUGAAGGCAUCUUCAAAUGACCAAAGGAGUAAUCCGCUAUCAGAUGGGCCCGCGGCGCAUUAGCUAGUUGGUGAGGUAACGGCUCACCAAGGCGACGAUGCGUAGCCGACCUGAGUGGGUGAUCGGCCACAUUGGGACUGAGACACGGCCCAGACUCCUACGGGAGGCAGCAGUGGGGAAUAUUGCACAAUGGGGGAAACCCUGAUGCAGCAACGCCGUGUGAGUGAUGAAGGCCUUCGGGUUGUAAAGCUCUGUCUUCAGGGACGAUAAUGACGGUACCUGAGGAGGAAGCCACGGCUAACUACGUGCCAGCAGCCGCGGUAA
rnacentral:rRNA from 1 species